GGUGGUUAUAGCUCAGGGGUAGAGCAACAGAUUGUGAUUCUGAGGGUCAUGGGUUCAAAUCCCAUUAAUCACC
rnacentral:tRNA from 1 species